GUCCGGCGAGUGGCGAACGGGUGAGUAAUAUAUCGGAACGUACCGAGUAGUGGGGGAUAACCAAUCGAAAGAUUGGCUAAUACCGCAUACGUCUUGAGAGAGAAAGCAGGGGACCAUUUGGCCUUGCGCUAUUCGAGCGGCCGAUAACUGAUUAGCUAGUUGGUGGGGUAAAGGCCUACCAAGGCGACGAUCAGUAGCGGGUCUGAGAGGACGAUCCGCCACACUGGGACUGAGACACGGCCCAGACUCC
rnacentral:rRNA from 1 species